rnacentral:tRNA from 1 species
GGGCGUGUAGCUCAGGUGGUUAGAGCGCAGUCCUGAUAAGACUGAGGUCCCAGGUUCGAGCCCUGGCACGCCCA